AGAAAGGGAAGUAGACAGAGGAAAAGAAUUGGAAAAAAAGAAAGAGAAGAAAAAAGAAGAAGAGAAAAAGAUGAUGAUGUGUAUGUAGAUUGAAGGUGGUGAGAAUAAUGAUGAUGAGGAUGAUAGACUUUAGAACAGGUAGACUGAUGAUGAGAAAAUGAUGAUGAAGACAAAAUAAUAUUUCGCAUUUUUAAUAAUAAUAAUAAUCUUUGUACGUGUUUACCUUUUUCUUUUUACUCUUUUUGGAGAACAAAUUUUUUAUUCGAAAGAGAAAAUUUUUCUUAUUCUUUUUUUUCACUUUUCCACUUUUUCAAAAUUCUAAUUAAUUAAUUGGAUUAUAAGUAGAAUUUGUAAUUGAUUUUUUUUUCUUUUCUUUUGUUUCCCUCGCUUUUAGUUGGUCACUUUUUCUUUUUCUCUGGUUUGUCCUCGUGAUUAAUUUUUCUUCUUUAAUUAUAUUAACCCUUUUGGUCAUUUAUUUAUAGAAUUGACAAUGUCCACUCUUUGAUUUCCUGGAGUUUCUAUCGAUUGUUUUCAUUUUUAUUCUCUUUUUACUCUUUCCUCCAUCUUUUUUAUCUCUCUUAACCUUUUGUUUGACUUUUUUUUCUCUUCUCUUUCACAUGUAAACCAUUAAGGUUUCUCCUUUUAUCUUCUCUUUCUUUUAUUAUCUCUCUUCCCCUUUUGUUUAUCCUCUUUAUCUCUUUCUCUCUGGUUGUUUCUACCUUUAUCUUACAUGUUCUUUUAUCAAAAUUUUCUCUCUGUGUCUAAUCUAAUUUUCUUUGUUUUCAUUUUUUCACCUCCAUGGAAAAUUCUUCAGACCCUUGAGAGUUCACCCGUUCUUCUGAUUUAAGUGUACUUAUUAUACCGGUUAAAUAGCGAAAGAGAAGGAGAAAGAGAUAGAUAGAGAGAGAGUGAGUGAUAAUCUACAUGAAUCUUCCUUCCAUUUCCUUUCAUUUCUUCUGUUCUCUGUCUCUUUCUCUCUCAUUUUCUCUUCCAAUAUGAUAUCAUUAGUGAAAGAAGAAACCUGGUGAUGAUGGUGGAGACAUUAUGCUCAUGCGAUAAACGAUAAACGAGUCGAUCAGAAACAAAAAUGGAAACGCAUCUUUUUACCGGCUUGUUGAUUUAUUCUGAUGGAUGGAAAACAUUUUAUGAUGAUGGACAAUCAACUUUCUCUCUCGUUCUCUUCCACUGAUGGUUACCUAAUGGAGAUUCUAAUGAUAAAACUAACAAUCCAUAACAGUAUUGGAAAAAAAACUAUCAACAAUGAAGGGGAGAACGUGCUUACCGCGUGCACCUAAAUCAAUAGUUUCUCAUGCAUGAAGUAUUAAUCAUGUCAUAUUUUUAUAUCGAUUUGUUGGUACGAAUUGAUUAUGACAAAUAGGAGAAGGAGAUGUUGAUUAGAACUUGAUUAGACAGAAGUAAAUCACCAAAUCUUCAAAAUGGAUCAUUGGUUUUUUCAAUCAAUCUCGUUGAAACUCAAAUAACACACAAAAUCAGGAUCACAAUUAUGUCAGACAUGUUUUAUCAUUUUUGAUUUUUUCACUUUCAUCAACUCAUCUCAACUUUUCCAUCAGCAUCUUAUUGCCGAUCAUCAUCUCGAUGUUUACUAUCCAAGUUAUCUGGUUAUAACGCUCAAACAUGGAUAGACUAUCAACAAUUUUUAUACCUUCACAUGAUGAUAUUCAGCCUACAAUUCAAGUCUCAGUCAACCUGUUGGUGGUUAUGAUGACUAUUGAUGUUGCCCCUUUCUUCAAGUGACUGUUCGGCCUUGGAAAAGGCUUUAACUCACUGACUCCCUCGAAUGGAUUUCCACUUUGACAACGUCACUGACCAUCACGAAUAAUUGGUUAGCCAAUCUCUCUCUCUCUCUCUCUUUCUUUCUUUCUUUCUUUCUUUCUUUCUUUCUCUCUCUCUCUAUUCACAUACAGCAAAGAAAAGAAAGAAAAAACAGUCGAUUCAAUUUUAUACCUAAAGGUAAAUGAAAAAAACGUCACAACAGGUAAGUGAUAGAAAGAGAAAGCUAAACUAACCGAGAAUAACCCGGAAUAACAUGAUUAUAUUAUUUGAUUAUGAUGACUGUAAAUGUAAUUGAUUAUUUAAUCAAUAUAAACAUCAACACCAGGACAUGUUGCUGAUAUUUCUAGAUACUAAUGAUUCUAUUAAUACAAUUUAUCGAUUGAUGAUUGUUUUUGAUAAGAAAUUAUCAAUUAAAUGAUCAAAAGUAAAUGUAUAUCUGUGGCCGAUAAACAUCAUCGACAUCGUCAUCAAUUACUUUCACACAGAAUCUUAUUUUCCGUCAUCGAACCGAGUUAUUCCUUGUUACUGAAAUAUACUUUUUCUCACUUUUUCAAGUCUCUCUCUCUCUCUCUCUCUCUCUCUCUCUCUCUCUCUCUCUCUCUCUCUCUUUCUUUCUUUCUUUCUUUCUUUCUUUCUCUCUAUUCACAUACAGCAAAGAAAAGAAAGAAAAAACAGUCGAUUCAAUUUUAUACCUAAAGGUAAAUGAAAAAAACGUCACAACAGUCUCAUGUCUGGCCUUGGAUUUUAACUCGUGUUUGUGUUUUCCUUUACAUUUACGAUUAGAAUAAGUCAAGUGAUAAGAUAUGCGAUAUUGUAUAAACACAAUUAUCUAAAUUACUUCUAAUCAGUUGGUUAUUAUAAUUUUCCUUCUCCUUUAAAUAUUAUCAACUUUCUGCCAACAAAAACAACAACAACAACACAGGAAACUAAUUUUCGUCGAACUGGAUCCAUUUCGUUGGAGUUAUUAUUUCGAACUGUUAAAUUUGGUCAGGUAGUGAAAAUCCCGUAAAAACUUUUCAGUAUCACUUCCGCAAUUUUAGUUGGUAAUUUAUAUUAUCAAUUUUGUUGGUGUUGUAGGAUAAUUAGCAUACAAUUAAGGAAUUACAGUUGCCUAGAGAUAACCUUUCAGUUUCCUAUGAACUUGAUUAUUUUCAAUAAUAUUAAUCAGCUGAAUUAUUUACUCGUUUCAUGUGAAUAUUUAUCGUUGUUCACGUUUCCAUUUUACCGACUAUGAAUUUAUGGAUUAUCUUUACACUCAAUCAAGGUUGAUCAUCAUGUCAACAACAUCUUAAUGAUUAUUGAUGAUUAUUAAGCUGAUUAAGUUUAAUUAGAUAUGAAAUUUAGUUAACUGAAUUAUACAACGGAUCUUAAAAAUCCACAGUUUCUUAAAUAGUAGUUAAUCUACUUCGAAAUCGUUUGAAAUGAUCCAGAAUUAAUCUGCUAAUUUUUACUAAUUUUUCAAUUCUAAUAUUGAUUAGAGUGUAAAAAGAUUGAUUGAUUACACUUGGAAACUUUAAUUGCUGAUAUUCAUCAAAUGGAGUCAACGGAAUCGUCCAAUUAACCCGUUUAAUUUAAUUUGAAACAAUCAACAUGAUUGUGUGUUUAAUUUACAAAUUAACGCUCGCCCCACAUCAACAAUGACAAUUGCUCUUACAAAAUUUGAUCAACGCAAUUUAGUUUGUCCUAUUUAAUUAAUUACAAUACGACAAACACUCAUGUUAAUUUAAAUCAAACUGAGUUUAAUUAACUCUGAUUAUUUAAAUAAGUUGAUGGUUUUAAAUUUUACUCUUACCAAUUGCUAGUGACAAUUGUGUUAAUCAUCAAUAGCAGAUAUUAACACAACUGUUGGCAAUCAAAGUUUUAAUCAACAAUUUAGUGAUGUAAAUUAUUUUGAUAAAACCCAAGUGAGUACAAAUUAACUAAUCUACGUCAAUAGUUGUAAAAACAAAGACGCAACAAUUAAAUUGGGCACAAUUAACCUUGAUUACCUAAUGGAUACUGAUUGUAAAAUUGGUCAAAUUGUUUUUUAAUUUUAAUUGUUGUGAAAAUUAAAAAACAGGAUAAACACAAUUGGACAAAAUGCUUCAAGGAAUUAAGUUAAUAACUAAUUUACUUUCGUCUCAAUUUAAGGAAAUGUUAAAUUGUUUGACGUUGAAUUGAAUUAAAUUAACCAAUAGAUUUAACCUUAAAUCAUUUAACUCCAAACCUUGAAAAUGAAAACACAUCAAUAAGUUUACACAAUUAACUGAUUGUUUAUAUCUUAAUUAUUGGAUUCAUGUAACAAUCAUUUUAAAUUGUUGAGAUAAUUUUAACUUAACAAUUUUGAUUCUGAUUAAGAUAAACAACUAAAUGGUUACAUAAUCAAGUAUUCUCAAAGUUGAUUGUUAUUUAUAACUAGAGACAUGUAACAAUUUAUGUUUAAUUGAUUCUGAUUAUUGAUUAGAU